CUCAGGUAAAUAAGCUCUCCUGUAGCUACAGGUCACCUUGUGGAUUUAUUAGGGAAGAAUCAAUUAAUUCUAUCUUUAGGGAGAAAACUGGCAUAGUAAUGAGGUAAGAGAGUAGAUGGGUGCAGUGGUUAAUAACCAUGAGAAAAAUUUGUUCUCUCUUCUCCUUCACAAAGUUCCAUUGUAAGUUGGCAAGGCACAUGUCAAACUGCAUUAUACCUGCAUCCCUUAAGCUGAUAUAUAUAAGUGAUAUAUAAGUGAAAAAUAUGAUGAAAAAAGUUUCAGUAACUUCCAUCUAUGACAAAGACAGUGAAUGAAAAGUAAAAAUUAGCCCCCUCCAUGCAGCCCUGCUCACCUUGCCUCAAGCUGUCCCUGGCUAACCACAGUCAUUUAUUUGUUUCAGCCCUUUACGUCAGACAAGCACCCCUGUUUUUCCACGCCGACCUGUCAGGCUACAGCCCAUCUCUGUGAAGUGAGGGACAUGUUGUGGCUCAGGUUUUCAGCAGGUCAGCACUGAGUUUUCUGGCUGUCCUCUUCUCCCUGGCUGCUACUGCUGCAGGUCACCAUACAGCUCUGCUGAGGAUACUUAUCAGUUCAUGAGGGUCUGAUCAUCAUAACUGAGCUGCAAGAUGCCAUGAAAACAGAACUAAUUAUUUAUUGUAAUAUGCACAAACACAGCCCUCUGAUUACUCCUCUACUGGACCAUGUCAGAAGAUUCCCAGAGGCCUUUAGGAAGGUUUUGCCUUCUAUACAAAGGCAGUUUUAUGUGAUCCUACAGUAAAAACAAGUUAAGGAAUGGCUUGUAAGUUGUUUCCAGAUUUUCAGCUUCCACAGUGAAGGGACAUCAUUGCAAAAGGCACUCUAGAAAACUGGGAGAAAUUCAAUACUCAUUAAAGAAGAAAUGAAGAGUCACAGUUAAUGCUAUUAGUUAAUUCAAAGAAGAAAACCAAAAAGAAAAUAUUCUCAGCAAUUUUUUAUCCUUUUUAUGUUUGCACUUCAUUUUUUUUUGGCAGAAGAUAGCCAACAGAUGUAAAAUGUACUGCUAUUUUGGAGAUAGUGCUGAAGAAUUUGGACUUAGUUAACACUUGUAGAACCCAGUUAUCAGAUGAACCCAAUUAUCAGAUGAACAAAUUUAUCCAGAAAUAUUUUGCAUGACAUUUGGUAUCAGUUAAACUCAAAUUCUUUAAUAAUUAAUUUGACUCUUGUAACAACUUUAGGGCACAAUAACCAUGCAUGUCUCCUGUCUGGAAUCAAUUUGUCGGUGAUACAAAUCACUGCAGUGAAGUCAAGAAAUCAUGACAACCUACAUGGCACAGCUGCUUUGCUCUGAAAAUUCCUUUUUGCUCUGAAACAGGGAUCCUCAUUGCAGAUAUAUUUAUGAGAGGACAGUUACAUACCUUCUCAGGCACAUACCCAUUUCCCUUAAAAAGUCUUCUGACAAGCUGCUAAAUCUUCUGGGAUGUGUUUGAUUUUGGUUAUUUUGGGGUUCUCUCCCCCUCCCACCUGCCACAGGUUUUUUGUUUGGUA
rnacentral:lncRNA from 1 species